rnacentral:lncRNA from 1 species
CCGUGGAGCGACAUAGGACGGUGGUCUUUCCCCCAUCCGACGCCGCGAGUGGAGUCGAGGUACUGCUGGACGAGAUGACGGCAUUUCUGGUAAUGGUUGACUCCUUCGACGCGGUAACACCAUUUGACCUUCUCGCGCAUGAUCUUCGCCUUCUCGAUCUGGAUCCACUUCUCCCGGACGAUGUGCUCUCUCAUUUCCAUCAUCGCCACCGGAUCCUUGUAAGGAUUCGCCGGAUCGAAGCCAUCCGGCGCCGUCUCUUCGAACUCCGGCAAUCCCUUCUUUCUCCCCAUUGCUUCUUCUUCUCUCACUCGUCUUCGUGAUUCGCUUCUGGAUUGUAGUUGGUGACUUUGCUGUUUAAAAGUACUUUUGGGCCUACUUGGAUCGGCCCAAACUUUAAGCCCAUCUUCUAACCAGUGUGUGAUGGAAAACAUUUUAAAAUGGUUGAUCGUAUAUAUCUAUAAAGUGAAUUAUGUCCUUAGCUUAGAGAAAUAUUAUUGUAAUUACUGUACUACUAAAUCUAUACUAUUAUUUGGGAAGUAAGUUUUUAGAAUCGAACUUUCACGUUAAAAGUUAGACUGGUUAAUGUCGUUAUUACCCUUAAUAAAUAAAACAUAUAAAUAAAUUAAAAAUAAAAACGAAAUUUUAAUUUAUUUAAUUAGAUAAUUGAUUAAAAUUAAUAAUAGUAAGAAUUAUCCAAAAUAUGAAAAUAUAAUUAAAAAAAGAUAAUUUCUAUAUAUAUUGUAUUGUUAUCUGAAAAAGUCUUUUAGUGAAAAGUUAAAAUAAACAUAAAUUAUAUAAUUAAAAAUAGAAUAUUGUGUUAUUUUAAGAUUUAUUUUAGUAUAAUGAAUAUAGAGUACAAAGAACUUUUCAAAAAUUUAUGAAAAUGUUUAAACCUGCAUCGCAGUCAAAACACCUAGUUAUUAUAAUAUAUGGUGUAAUAUAGUUUAGAAAAAGAAUCAUAAAUGUAUCAAUUAAGUUUUAUAUAUUUUCAAUAAUGUUGAAUGUUUUUUUACGAAAAAAGUAAUGUUGAAUGUUACUUGAGAAACUUCUGUUUGUUGUCUUCUCUACGACAAAAUAAGAGAGAAAAUUACUCUUCCACAUAGAUAAUGACAAAACAUACGAUCUUUACACGAUCUUUCAAGGUUUGUAGAAAAUCAACCCGAAAAAAUGAAAUCUAACGCGUAUGUGAACUUAUCAUCUUCUUUCCAAGCGCCGCCAAUAUAACAAACUCUAGAGUCUUCCAGGGCUAGAGACACAUAUUGAUGUACAUUCCCAGUAUAGGAAUUAGGGUAAAGGCCUAACAUUUGAUUCACUGGUAAGUGGUAAUAUAUUCUAGUAAAGACAAGCAUAUAACCUCUUAAAGUUGCAUAAAACAUCAUCAUCAAGAAAUGCAAAAACUUUCUUAGAUCUUUUAAUUUAACAAACAGAUGAAAUUAAAAAAAAAAAACGAAUCUUUCAGAAACACAGAACCAGUUACUCACUCACCUCAGAUUAAUCACACGCAAAUCAUUAUUCAGCUUCAACAGCCUCAGGCUUAGGACCUGCAUCCAAACAAAAACGAUUCAGCAAAGCAUCAUUCACCACUAAACAGAUGAAACAAGAUAAAACUCACCGUGGAGCGACAUAGGACGGUGGUCUUUCCCCCAGCCGACGCCGCGAGUGGAGUCGAGGUACUGCUGGACGAGAUGACGGCAUUUCUGGUAAUGGUUGACUCCUUCGACGCGGUAACACCAUUUGACCUUCUCGCGCAUGAUCUUCGCCUUCUCGAUCUGGAUCCACUUCUCCCGGACGAUGUGCUCUCUCAUUUCCAUCAUCGCCAC